rnacentral:rRNA from 1 species
AUGCAGUCGAACGGCAGCACGGGGGCAACCCUGGUGGCGAGUGGCGAACGGGUGAGUAACAUAUCGGAACAUAUCCGGAAGUGGGGGAUAACGUACCGAAAGGUACGCUAAUACCGCAUAUGCCCUGAGGGGGAAAGGAGGGGAUCGCAAGACCUUUCGCUUUCGGAGUGGCCGAUAUCGGAUUAGCUAGUUGGUGAGGUAAAGGCUCACCAAGGCGACGAUCCGUAGCUGGUCUGAGAGGACGACCAGCCACACUGGAACUGAGACACGGUCCAGACUCCUACGGGAGGCAGCAGUGGGGAAUUUUGGACAAUGGGGGCAACCCUGAUCCAGCCAUGCCGCGUGAGUGAAGAAGGCCUUCGGGUUGUAAAGCUCUUCCAGACGGAAAGAAACGGUCACGGCCAACACCCGUGACUAAUGACGGUACCGUCAGAAGAAGCACCGGCUAACUACGUGCCAGCAGCCGCGGUAAUACGUAGGGUGCGAGCGUUAAUCGGCAUUACUGGGCGUAAAGCGUGCGCAGGCGGUUUUGUAAGACAGACGUGAAAUCCCCGGGCUUAACCUGGGAACUGCGUUUGUGACUGCAAGACUAGAGUGUAGCAGAGGGGGGUAGAAUUCCACGUGUAGCAGUGAAAUGCGUAGAUAUGUGGAGGAAUACCGAUGGCGAAGGCAGCCCCCUGGGCUAACACUGACGCUCAUGCACGAAAGCGUGGGGAGCAAACAGGAUUAGAUACCCUGGUAGUCCACGCCCUAAACGAUGUCAACUAGGUGUUGGGGGAAGGAGACUUCUUUAGUACCGCAGCUAACGCGAUAAGUUGACCGCCUGGGGAGUACGGUCGCAAGAUUAAAACUCAAAGGAAUUGACGGGGACCCGCACAAGCGGUGGAUUAUGUGGAUUAUUUCGAUGCAACGCGAAAAACCUUACCUACCCUUGACAUGUCAGGAAGAUACCAGAGAUGGGAUUGUGCCCGAAAGGGAACCUGACACAGGUGCUGCAUGGCUGUCGUCAGCUCGGUGUCGUGAGAUGUUGGUUUAGGUCCCGCAACGAGCGC